AUUGAACGCUGGCGGCAUGCCUUACACAUGCAAGUCGAACGGCAGCACGGGGGCAACCCUGGUGGCGAGUGGCGAACGGGUGAGUAACACAUCGGAACGUGCCCAGUAGUGGGGGAUAGCUCGGCGAAAGCCGGAUUAAUACCGCAUACGACCUACGGGUGAAAGCGGGGGAUCGCAAGACCUCGCGCUAUCGGAGCGGCCGAUGUCAGAUUAGGUUGUUGGUGGGGUAAAGGCCACCAAGCCGACGAUCUGUAGCUGGUCUGAGAGGACGACCAGCCACACUGGGACUGAGACACGGCCCAGACUCCUACGGGAGGCAGCAGUGGGGGAAUUUUGGACAAUGGGCGCAAGCCUGAUCCAGCCAUGCCGCGUGCGGGAAGAAGGCCUGGUGUAACG
rnacentral:rRNA from 1 species